rnacentral:rRNA from 1 species
ACUAAGCGUACACGGUGGAUGCCCUGGCAGUCAGAGGCGAUGAAGGACGUGCUAAUCUGCGAUAAGCGCCGGUAAGGUGAUAUGAACCGUUAUAACCGGCGAUUUCCGAAUGGGGAAACCCAGUGUGAUUCGUCACACUAUCAUUAACUGAAUCCAUAGGUUAAUGAGGCGAACCGGGGGAACUGAAACAUCUAAGUACCCCGAGGAAAAGAAAUCAACCGAGAUUCCCCCAGUAGCGGCGAGCGAACGGGGAGGAGCCCAGAGCCUGAAUCAGCAUGUGUGUUAGUGGAAGCGUCUGGAAAGGCGCGCGAUACAGGGUGACAGCCCCGUACACAAAAGCGCAUGUGCUGUGAGCUCGAUGAGUAGGGCGGGACACGUGGUAUCCUGUCUGAAUAUGGGGGGACCAUCCUCCAAGGCUAAAUACUCCUGACUGACCGAUAGUGAACCAGUACCGUGAGGGAAAGGCGAAAAGAACCCCGGCGAGGGGAGUGAAAAAGAACCUGAAACCGUGUACGUACAAGCAGUGGGAGCUGAGGGAAAGGCGAAAAGAACCCCGGCGAGGGGAGUGAAAAAGAACCUGAAACCGUGUACGUACAAGCAGUGGGAGCCCCACCACUAAGCCAGUGGUGAACUCCACAUACGCAUCCUUUGCUGAGGAUACGGUUAACGGAGCGCAAGCGACGUUCAACCGCAAAAGAAGCAGAGGGGGCUUAGUGGUGGGGUGACUGCGUACCUUUUGUAUAAUGGGUCAGCGACUUAUAUUCUGUAGCAAGGUUAACCGUAUAGGGGAGCCGGAGGGAAACCGAGUCUUAAUUGGGCGUUAAGUUGCAGGGUAUAGACCCGAAACCCGGUGAUCUAGCCAUGGGCAGGUUGAAGGUUGGGUAACACUAACUGGAGGACCGAACCGACUAAUGUUGAAAAAUUAGCGGAUGACCUGUGGCUGGGGGUGAAAGGCCAAUCAAACCGGGAGAUAGCUGGUUCUCCCCGAAAGCUAUUUAGGUAGCGCCUCGUGAAUUCAUCUCCGGGGGUAGAGCACUGUUUCGGCUAGGGGGCCAUCCCGGCUUACCAACCCGAUGCAAACUGCGAAUACCGGAGAAUGUUAUCACGGGAGACACACGGCGGGUGCUAACGUCCGUCGUGAAGAGGGAAACAACCCAGACCGCCAGCUAAGGUCCCAAAGUCAUGGUUAAGUGGGAAACGAUGUGGGAAGGCCCAGACAGCCAGGAUGUUGGCUUAGAAGCAGCCAUCAUUUAAAGAAAGCGUAAUAGCUCACUGGUCGAGUCGGCCUGCGCGGAAGAUGUAACGGGGCUAAACCAUGCACCGAAGCUGCGGCAGCGAGUAAUAGCUCACUGGUCGAGUCGGCCUGCGCGGAAGAUGUAACGGGGCUAAACCAUGCACCGAAGCUGCGGCAGCGAACGUAUCACUUAAAGCGAUUCAGCGGGUUACGAUUGACGGAGCGAAGCGACGUCAAAGCGUAUACAAAGUCGAGUCGGUUUAAGGAUACGUUCGUUGGGUAGGGGAGCGUUCUGUAAGCCUGUGAAGGUGUGUCGUGAGGCAUGCUGGAGGUAUCAGAAGUGCGAAUGCUGUUGGGUAGGGGAGCGUUCUGUAAGCCUGUGAAGGUGGCCUGUGAGGGUUGCUGGAGGUAUCAGAAGUGCGAAUGCUGACAUAAGUAACGAUAAAGCGGGUGAAAAGCCCGCUCGCCGGAAGACCAAGGGUUCCUGUCCAACGUUAAUCGGGGCAGGGUGAGUCGACCCCUAAGGCGAGGCCGAAAGGCGUAGUCGAUGGGAAACGGGUUAAUAUUCCCGUACUUGGUGUUACUGCGAAGGGGGGACGGAGAAGGCUAUGUUGGCCGGGCGACGGUUGUCCCGGUUUAAGCGUGUAGGUGUGUGUUCCAGGUAAAUCCGGUUCACUUUAACACUGAGGCGUGAUGACGAGGCACUACGGUGCUGAAGCAACAAAUGCCCUGCUUCCAGGAAAAGCCUCUAAGCAUCAGGUAACAUCAAAUCGUACCCCAAACCGACACAGGUGGUCAGGUAGAGAAUACCAAGGCGCUUGAGAGAACUCGGGUGAAGGAACUAGGCAAAAUGGUGCCGUAACUUCGGGAGAAGGCACGCUGACAUGUAGGUGAAGUGAUUUACUCAUGGAGCUGAAGUCAGUCGAAGAUACCAGCUGGCUGCAACUGUUUAUUAAAAACACAGCACUGUGCAAACACGAAAGUGGACGUAUACGGUGUGACGCCUGCCCGGUGCCGGAAGGUUAAUUGAUGGGGUCAGCGCAAGCGAAGCUCCUGAUCGAAGCCCCGGUAAACGGCGGCCGUAACUAUAACGGUCCUAAGGUAGCGAAAUUCCUUGUCGGGUAAGUUCCGACCUGCACGAAUGGCGUAAUGAUGGCCAGGCUGUCUCCACCCGAGACUCAGUGAAAUUGAACUCGCUGUGAAGAUGCAGUGUACCCGCGGCAAGACGGAAAGACCCCGUGAACCUUUACUAUAGCUUGACACUGAACAUUGAGCCUUGAUGUGUAGGAUAGGUGGGAGGCUUUGAAGCGUGGACGCCAGUCUGCGUGGAGCCGGCCUUGAAAUACCACCCUUUAAUGUUUGAUGUUCUAACGUGGACCCGUGAUCCGGGUUGCGGACAGUGUCUGGUGGGUAGUUUGACUGGGGCGGUCUCCUCCUAAAGAGUAACGGAGGAGCACGAAGGUUGGCUAAUCCUGGUCGGACAUCAGGAGGUUAGUGCAAUGGCAUAAGCCAGCUUGACUGCGAGCGUGACGGCGCGAGCAGGUGCGAAAGCAGGUCAUAGUGAUCCGGUGGUUCUGAAUGGAAGGGCCAUCGCUCAACGGAUAAAAGGUACUCCGGGGAUAACAGGCUGAUACCGCCCAAGAGUUCAUAUCGACGGCGGUGUUUGGCACCUCGAUGUCGGCUCAUCACAUCCUGGGGCUGAAGUAGGUCCCAAGGGUAUGGCUGUUCGCCAUUUAAAGUGGUACGCGAGCUGGGUUUAGAACGUCGUGAGACAGUUCGGUCCCUAUCUGCCGUGGGCGCUGGAGAACUGAGGGGGGCUGCUCCUAGUACGAGAGGACCGGAGUGGACGCAUCACUGGUGUUCGGGUUGUCAUGCCAAUGGCACUGCCCGGUAGCUAAAUGCGGAAGAGAUAAGUGCUGAAAGCAUCUAAGCACGAAACUUGCCCCGAGAUGAGUUCUCCCUGAGACUUUAGGUCUCCUGAAGGAACGUUGAAGACGACGACGUUGAUAGGCCGGGUGUGUAAGCGCAGCGAUGCGUUGAGCUAACCGGUACUAAUGAACCGUGAGGCUUAACC